GAUGGCAGAGUGCUAUAUGUCUUCGAAGGCAGGGCGAUUUCGGAGGCCCGUGGGUUCAAAGGGGUAACGGGGAGAGAGUGCUGGUGGUACCAGGCGAGGACUAUUUUACGGUUGGUUGAGUGUCAGCAGCAGUCAGGAUUGUUGGCGAUUUUUAUUUUGCUUUUCUUGCGGAUUCGCUAUUUCAACUGACUCUUGUAGCCAAACUUGCUGGGAUCGGUGCUGGCGCCGGCUACGGCGAACCGUGGGGAGGAGAAGAAGUGUUUGGCAGCGGCCUCCAUAUCUUGAUUAAUCCUUAAAUGGCGUGUAUUAACCUAUUGCCAGCUGGAGACAUGGAAGGUAGACAGUGCUUAAAUACUUUCUAGUCUUUGGUGGAGAUGCCUCGGAGGUUAGAAGCUCCACCACACCAAUAAUUUGUUGACUUAGCAGUUGGUUUUGAAACGCAGAUUACCACG
rnacentral:sRNA from 1 species